CGUGCGUCUGCAGUCAAGAGGUUUCAGUUGACGGUAGGUCACACCCGCUGAGGCUUGGUGUCACGUUCUGGAAAUCUUGAGGGAAUCAGCCGAUAAUAUACGUGUAUUUUUUUAAACGCUCGAGUACAGCAGAAAGUUCGGAAACAUCUGUAGAAGAAGGAGCGCAGUGCAUGAUGGACGCUAAAGUGGAAGUGGUUAUCAUCUUCAUGCUCGUAAUUGCGCAGAUGUUAUUGCUGGAGGCUACAUCAAUACGAGAAAGCUGUCACAAUUCGUCUAACGAUGAGUUAGACACGGCUUCAGGCGCGUUGGACGUAGGAAGACUUGCCAGAAUCCUCAGAAGAAUUGCCGCCAGGAAGACAUCGUGAGCAACACUUGCCACACUGAAGUGUCGUCCGAAGAAACGCCUUGCCAACCGUUCACAUAAUCAGUGGUUAUUUCAUAAACAGUUGUGUUUUCAGUAUAUUUCGAACGUCAAGCAUUGAUUGAAGGAUGACACAACGAGACGUCAUAUCGAUCAUAUCAUGUCUUAUCGUUCUAAAUGGUACCUCUGUCAAGUCUCACGGCUACAGUAUAUUUUGCUACUCUCAAUAAUGAGGUUGUCAUGUUAAUUUCUGUCCAACUGCGCAUACUUUCCGUAAAAAAUACUGCUAUGCAAGGCAAGAGAAUUCUAAUGUUGUGUAGUACUCUAUUGUUUUAUCUUAUAGACCUAUUUUAUGCUCACUGAUAUUUAUUGAUCCGGCAUUCCUUUGAAGAUUCUUGAUUCAAGUACCAGUUUCCGGAAAGUACAGUCUAUUCAACAUUAAAUCACUUUCAGAAUUCUUUCUUGGGAUACCCAAGUUACUGGAUAAUUUCUUCGUAUUUAUUGGCAAUAUGAAGGUCGUAAGGAUGGUAUUUGAAAUAAUUGUUAAAUUUGUUUUAAGCCAAAUAACUUUGUCAGAAGCAUGAGUUUUUAAUUACAUUCUAAAGAAUGUAUUCAUGCACACUGUAAGAGCGCAACUUUCAACAUGUUUCGUCAUUAAAAUAAUCAAGAACGAGGAAGUGUAAGGACAGGUUA